CACUUUAAUCGAUUUCUUCGGAUUGAAAUUUAGUGACUGAGUGGCGGACGGGUGAGUAACGCGUGGGUAACCUGCCUUGUACAGGGGGAUAACAGUUGGAAACGACUGCUAAUACCGCAUAAGCGCACAGUACCGCAUGGUACGGUGUGAAAAACUCCGGUGGUGUGAGAUGGACCCGCGUCUGAUUAGCCAGUUGGCGGGGUAACGGCCCACCAAAGCGACGAUCAGUAGCCGGCCUGAGAGGGUGAACGGCCACAUUGGGACUGAGACACGGCCCAGACUCC
rnacentral:rRNA from 1 species